AAAUUGAAGAGUUUGAUCAUGGCUCAGAUUGAACGCUGGCGGCAGGCCUAACACAUGCAAGUCGAACGGUAACAGGAAGAAGCUUGCUUCUUUGCUGACGAGUGGCGGACGGGUGAGUAAUGUCUGGGAAACUGCCUGAUGGAGGGGGAUAACUACUGGAAACGGUAGCUAAUACCGCAUAACGUCGCAAGACCAAAGAGGGGGACCUUCGGGCCUCUUGCCAUCGGAUGUGCCCAGAUGGGAUUAGCUAGUAGGUGGGGUAACGGCUCACCUAGGCGACGAUCCCUAGCUGGUCUGAGAGGAUGACCAGCCACACUGGAACUGAGACACGGUCCAGACUCCUACGGGAGGCAGCAGUGGGGAAUAUUGCACAAUGGGCGCAAGCCUGAUGCAGCCAUGCCGCGUGUAUGAAGAAGGCCUUCGGGUUGUAAAGUACUUUCAGCGGGGAGGAAGGGAGUAAAGUUAAUACCUUUGCUCAUUGACGUUACCCGCAGAAGAAGCACCGGCUAACUCCGUGCCAGCAGCCGCGGUAAUACGGAGGGUGCAAGCGUUAAUCGGAAUUACUGGGCGUAAAGCGCACGCAGGCGGUUUGUUAAGUCAGAUGUGAAAUCCCCGGGCUCAACCCGGGAACUGCAUCUGAUACUGGCAAGCUUGAGUCUCGUAGAGGGGGGUAGAAUUCUAGGUGUAGCGGUGAAAUGCGUAGAGAUCUGGAGGAAUACCGGUGGCGAAGGCGGCCCCCUGGACGAAGACUGACGCUCAGGUGCGAAAGCGUGGGGAGCAAACAGGAUUAGAUACCCCUGGUAGUCCACGCCGUAAACGAUGUCGACUUGGAGGUUGUGCCCUUGAGGCGUGGCUUCCGGAGCUAACGCGUUAAGUCGACCGCCUGGGGAGUACGGCCGCAAGGUUAAAACUCAAAUGAAUUGACGGGGGCCCGCACAAGCGGUGGAGCAUGUGGUUUAAUUCGAUGCAACGCGAAGAACCUUACCUGGUCUUGACAUCCACGGAAGUUUUCAGAGAUGAGAAUGUGCCUUCGGGAACCGUGAGACAGGUGCUGCAUGGCUGUCGUCAGCUCGUGUUGUGAAAUGUUGGGUUAAGUCCCGCAACGAGCGCAACCCUUAUCCUUUGUUGCCAGCGGUCCGGCCGGGAACUCAAAGGAGACUGCCAGUGAUAAACUGGAGGAAGGUGGGGAUGACGUCAAGUCAUCAUGGCCCUUACGACCAGGGCUACACACGUGCUACAAUGGCGCAUACAAAGAGAAGCGACCUCGCGAGAGCAAGCGGACCUCAUAAAGUGCGUCGUAGUCCGGAUUGGAGUCUGCAACUCGACUCCAUGAAGUCGGAAUCGCUAGUAAUCGUGGAUCAGAAUGCCACGGUGAAUACGUUCCCGGGCCUUGUACACACCGCCCGUCACACCAUGGGAGUGGGUUGCAAAAGAAGUAGGUAGCUUAACCUUCGGGAGGGCGCUUACCACUUUGUGAUUCAUGACUGGGGUGAAGUCGUAACAAGGUAACCGUAGGGGAACCUGCGGUUGGAUCACCUCCUUACCUUAAAGAAGC
rnacentral:rRNA from 1 species